UAAAUCGUAGGAGAAAGAUUUUUGUUGUAAGAUGUAAAAUUGUCAUUUCCUUACGACGUGUAUACACGUCGUAAUACACAUCCACAGAUAAGAGGUUAAGUACUUUGGUAUCGAAUUAUUUGAAUGUCAUCAAUAAUCUCAGUAUCGAUUCCAUCACACAGAUAGCAUGAAAUUCUACGCGGCGGCGGAAUAGGAUUCUCUCCGGUAGAAAGAGAAGGACUGAAUCAUCAUUUCUCAUUCGCGUCCGUGAUCCAAAAAUAGUGUUUCGAGUUGUCCAGGGAAUGUGAUCCGGUUGAAGCUGGCCUUUUUUCUUUCACAUUUUAUUCGGAGUCGAAUUGCGGCGCAUAGCGCGCGGGACAGUGACCAAAGGACUCGGAAAUACGUGUAAACACCCGACGAAUGCGAACACAAACGAGCAUUCCCCGAAUACAAAUUUUAUGGAGAUCGGCUGGUCAUAUUUUAUACGGUUAUUUUUCUGCUGAUAACAAAAUAUUCGUACGAUGCCAGGCACCGAUUUAUAUGCCGGAUAUUUUACAAUUAAUUUUGAAAAACGUAGAAAAUCCGCGAUGAGAUAAUUCGAAGGUUUAAACAGGAUAUUGUAAUAAUUCGUUUAAUGGAUGAUGUUGCAAAGCGCGAUGAGACCUUCGUGAAUUCCAUAAUCUCAUCCGAAAUUGAAUCAUCGUAUUGGGAAAAUCCAAGAGAACGCGUCGAAUCUUUCGAUCUGAAGAACACAUUCAUUACUGGAACUCGCGGGAUAGGCCUCGUCGCUUAUUAAACUAUUUGCUGCACCAGGAGCAACAAAAGUGAUCACGGGCAUGUCUGGUACUCGAGCAUGACUCCCGGAAAUGUUAUAGAUCACGGCAAGGAAAAUUAGGAAAAAUCUCCGUACGUAGUGGACAAGAUCGUCGAACGUGAUUUGCAAAUAGCGUUACGGAAUUACGCGCCAACAGAACCCGGUAAAAUUCUUUACGAAGAAAAUUUGGAAAUUCGACGGGCACAGUUCGGACCGAACAGGAUGUUGCCGAACAAAACUUCGAAAAGGCGGUUAUCCGAAUGGUUCUUACACAAUAGGAAUCGCUAAGAAAUGAUUCUUCAAAAUCCUCGAAUAAAGAUUCUUCGCAGCGAACAUCAAGCUCAAGGAUCGCACUAACGUGGGCAUUAUUCUCCUGAAAUGGAGGAGGGUCGCUGAUCUAGGAAAGGUUGGGAAACCCUGCCCGUAACCGAUAACUGGGAAUGUCGUUUUUUCUUUUCGUGAACGGGAGUCUGGUAGACGACUACUUUGCUGCAACGAUAUACUCUGUUUUGCGUUCCGCGCGUCUGAUAGCGCUGACAUCACGCAGCCGUGCAAUCCUUUCACGGGCAGAGCGCAGAGGUUCUCGCGGCCUGGCGGGUUCGCGGGAGAUUUAUGGGAUUCCUGGCGGAAUUUUUGCCGCCACGCGAGACUCCUUUCGAUUCCUCGGUGCACACACAUUGUUAUCGAAUGAUUUGUAACCGGUGGGCACGCCGGGUCGCGCCGGGAUCGGACACCGAAGAAUUUCCAUGCGACACGACCUACAACAAGGGAACUCCGGUGACUCAUGCACGCUGAUUUUGACGAAACAUUGCAUAAGGGAGGACCAACCGACUUUCUCAACGAUAGAGCCGUAUUUAAGGCUGUACAGAGUUUACAGAAAAUGUUGAUCGACCUAUGAUGAAAUUGCGGUGAGAAAGCGUGCGCGCAGUAUAUUCGAAAAAUAAAUAUUUUUCCGCAUUUGAAUGACUGCAGACGAGCACAGGGCACAGCGUGGCCGUAGAUCCGAAGUAAAACGAGAUAUUACGUUACGAGAAGUUCGGAUUGUAACAAGUGUCAUACUUCGGAUAAUGGGUAUGUAUGAUAAUGGGUAUGGGAUAAUAAAAUGAGUGCUCUAGCAUAGGAUACUCCAAAGUCAAACGUGACAGUACCCAGGAACGUCACACGUGCGUCAGAUGCCGUGACCGGGGAAUAUUGUUUGAUACAUAGAUGGGAACGUGGCUGUUUCUUGUCGAUGGUCCUCAAGGACACGGCGGAGCGGGAAAGUGCCCUCGCGGGUGUAGGUAACUACUGAAACGUACUCACCUUGUUGACAGCCGACCGCAAGGAAGCAGCAGCUGAGAACGAGACAAGUGGGUAUCGUUCUUAUGGACCAGCUAUCGGUCCCCUUGCGCCUCGACAUUUUCCUUCGGGCACUGUUCGAAGCCUCACUAUCGGUGAAACACACCUCUGAUAAACGACGAUGUCUCGAGGCAAUUCGCCCAGGCUGUCAGUACAACACUGUCAUUGUUCACUGUGGUCGAUUCGCGGCGGGUGCUGGAUUACCCGACCUGGUCACCGGUACCGUCGGUGGCUAUCGAUGGACAACGGACGGACACAUCGCUGCCGCAGAAAUUAAUUGUAACCAAAGGAAAGAGGACGACACGUUUGCGAGGACGGCGCGCUUGUCACUGGCCACAGCUAGAAAGCAAAAUCCCACUUUCACUUGGUGGUGCGCGCCUCGCGAGGCGGAGCUGGCACGCCGAGGCCAUCGGGGUCUUUCCCUCUCUCUUUGUCCCUCUCUUUCCACAGCGGGCAACGUCGGCUCUCCCCGACUAUAACGCAUGUUCAUACACGUCUCUUUGUGACGAUCAAAUUCGAGGGACUCCGAGAUCUUCUGAAAAACUCCAGGGUCCGGGUUCGGUGGCAAUUUUAGCGCGUCCCGCUGGGUUUCGCGUGUACGUACAGGUUGCAUCAAAAAAGGGUGCCGCGAACCGGACAUGCGGCGAUGACACUGCCGGUAGACUCAGAGAUUCCCGUAUAACGCGCGAUCCUACAACACGGAUUCCUGUAACGCGUUGCGAAGAUAUUGCGACCGGACAGUUUUCCAUGUAAUUAAAUGCGAUUAAAUGCAGCAAAAUUACACGGAGACAGAGACGUUGGAAUAUGUAACUUUGGACGACUUUGGACAUUGACUAACUGCCGACACUGGACAAACGCUUUUUCGGUUUUGUUUAACUAAAUUGCAAGGAAUUUUUUAAAUGUU